CGCGGGACCUACUACAAUGUUAUGAGCAGUGGCCAGUCACUGCACGACGGUUAGGAGGUUCUCAUUAUUUUUAUGCGUGUUAUUAUUUAUAGAUAUGAUGGCUAUUGCCAAUUUCAAAAUUGGGUGAUCUUGAACAAACCUUGAAACUGACCAUUGCCAAAAUUUUACGUAUAUAACUAUAUAAAUAUUAUUAGGUAGUAUUAUUAUAUGCUUAUAGGUACAUAUGUUAUUGAUUAUUAUUAUUAUUAUUUUUGAUUUUAAUAAUGUAAAAACGUCAUAUAAUAUUUAUCAGAUAUUUGAAAGUAUGGUCUUUCAGUAAACCAGCUACAUACAAUUUUACAAAUUUAAAAAAUUAUAAUUUAAAUAGAUUCGUUGUUGGGGAGAAAAAAGAAGCGAGUUUAUCUAGUGAAUCGCAUCAUCAUUUGUACAAAAGUGAGUGACGUGAAGGUGCCGAGAUAUAUUGGCUAGGUCCUACAUCUGUCAAUGCUGUGUUGAGAAGCUCCUUGUAACAUCCUUGUUCUUUUUCUCCUAGGGGCUAGGACUAAGGACU